rnacentral:rRNA from 1 species
UACGUAGGGGGCUAGCGUUGUCCGGAUUUAUUGGGCGUAAAGAGCGUGUAGGCGGCCAGGUAGGUCCGCUGUGAAAACUCGAGGCUCAACUUCGAGCUGUCGGUGGAAACUUUCUGGCUAGAGUCCGGAAGAGGAGAAUGGAAUUCCUGGUGUAGCGGUGAAAUGCGCAGAUAUCAGGAAGAACACCCGUGGCGAAGGCGGUUCUCUGGGACGGUACUAACGCUGAGACGCGAAAGCGUGGGGAGCGAACAGG